CUCCUCCAAGCCAGUAACUCUAUUCUUCUCGCCGCCGCCUAGAACUCGCUGCAAGCGCAGCUGCUGCUCGGCUGCUCUGUCCUCUAUAGCAGAAUCGUAGAAUUGCAGUACGGCAUUAUUGGUGUUCAUUCUUGUGGGUUCUUGCUCAGUUGCUCGGUGGGCACCUACAUUGUCAUUGUCGAAGUUAACUGCUUUGCUUGCUACUUGCUUUCCCUUGCACUCAGCACUGAACCUUAAAAAAUUCAUAAGAGAAAUAUGUAUGGCUUGAUUACCUCCUCCGCUGCUACCACGUCCGCCACUUCCAACUCUCUGUCUUCUCGCAUUCCCUUUGCCCUACUUCGUCAAAGAAUCACCAACACCGCUUCGUGCUCUCAAUUGACUUCAAUUGUGUGCGUUCAAGUUAACGGUAACUCGUUGCGGUCAAGUUAUAGUGCUAUUAAAGCCAUGGCUGACUCUCAUACCCUUUCAGUGCCAAAGAAUGAGCCUCAAGCCUCUGCUUCUGUCAGCAGGCAAGCUCUGAUAUCUUUAUCGGACAAAAAGGACCUGGCUUUUCUUGGUAGCGGGCUACAAAAUUUAGGGUAAGUUACCUGCAAUUUCUUUUUUAUUUGUUUCAUCUUUUUAAUUUUGAAAAUUUUAUAUUUUACUGCAUUUAUCCUGGAAUUAUUGCUUUCAAUUUGUUUGAUUCUUUUGGGAAAAAAAAUAUGAAAAAAAGGAGGAAAGCUUGGAAAUCCAUUUUCUAUUGGAUGCUGUUUGAAACUGGAUUACCGAGCCCCUCUUCUCCAUCCUUCUUUCAUUUUUCAUUCUAUUUUAUUUUUAAAUUAAAUAUUUAAGCCUCAUGGAAUUUAAUGUCUUAUGGUGAUCUCUUCUGUAAAUUGGAGGUACACAAUUGUUUCAACAGGAGGAACAGCAUCUGCUUUAGAAAGUAUUGGGGUGUCUGUAACUAAAGUGGAGCAACUUACUCGUUUUCCUGAAAUGCUUGAUGGUCGUGUGAAAACUUUACAUCCCAACAUCCAUGGGGGUAUUCUUGCUAGAAGGGAUCAGAAGCAUCAUAUGGAAGCUCUUAAUAAACAUGAAAUUGGUGUCUUUGAUGUAGUAGUGGUGAAUUUGUAUCCCUUUUAUGAUAAAGUUACAUCAACUGGGGGAAUUGAGUUUGAGGAUGGAAUUGAGAACAUUGACAUUGGUGGCCCUGCAAUGAUCAGAGCUGCUGCAAAGAAUCACAAGGAUGUCUUGGUGGUUGUUGACUCUCAAGACUAUCCCGCACUGCUAGAUUUCCUUAAAGGAAACCAGGAUGAUCAGCAGUUCCGUAGAAAGCUUGCCUGGAAAGCUUUUCAACAUGUUGCUUCUUAUGAUUGUGCAGUUUCUGAGUGGCUUUGGAAACAAACUGUGGGAGGUACAAUUUUGAUCCUCAUGUUUUUCAGCAUGCAUUCUAGCUCAGCACUAUUAAUGGGGCAAUCAUAAAACACAUGCGAGAGAACAUUUAAUUUGUAAUAAAUGAAGACAUCAUCUAAAUUAAAAUAAUCUUCUGAAAUACAAAUUCAUGAUGGAGAAGGAAAAAAGAGAGACAAUAGACGAAGAAAAAAUGUAAACAGAUGAUGUUUUUCCUGUGACAAUGUGUGGCAGUAAAUUUGAUUUUCAAUUGGUUGUAGUAGGUAUUUAAAUUUGUAGAUUGACUGGAUUAUUUAUAUGUUCGAAGAUAAAUUCCCUCCCAGUCUAACGGUGCCUCUCUCGCUUAAGAGUUCUCUUCGUUAUGGUGAAAAUCCUCACCAAAAGGCUGCAUUUUAUGUUGACAAGAGUAUUUCUGAGGUUAAUGCUGGUGGAAUUGCUACAGCUAUUCAACACCAUGGGAAGGAGAUGUCAUAUAACAACUACUUAGAUGCUGAUGCAGCUUGGAAUUGUGUAUCAGAAUUUAAGAACCCUACUUGUGUUAUUGUUAAGCACACAAAUCCUUGUGGGGUAGCUUCUCGUGAUGAUAUCCUUGAAGCAUAUAGGCUGGCUGUGAGAGCAGAUCCAGUGAGUGCAUUUGGUGGCAUUGUAGCCUUCAAUAUAGAGGUUGAUGAGGCUCUUGCUAAGGAAAUCAGGGAGUUUAGAAGCCCAACUGAUGGUGAAACUCGAAUGUUUUAUGAGAUUGUCGUUGCUCCUAAGUAUACAAAAAAGGGGCUUGAGAUUCUCAAGGGAAAAUCGAAGACACUAAGGAUCCUUGAGGCAAAAAAGAAUGAAAAAGGGAAGCUGUCUCUGAGACAAGUUGGUGGUGGAUGGUUAGCUCAGGAUUCAGAUGACUUGACCCCCCAAGAUAUUCAAUUCGGUGUCAUGUCUGAGAAGGCUCCACAAGAAAGUGAACUUUGUGAUGCAGAGUUUGCAUGGCUGUGUGUCAAGCAUAUAAAGAGCAAUGCCAUAGUAAUAGCAAAGAAUAACUGUAUGCUAGGCAUGGGAAGCGGGCAGCCAAACCGGCUGGAAAGUUUGAGAAUAGCCUUGAGGAAAUCAGGAGAUGAGGUCAAAGGAGCUGCUUUGGCCAGCGAUGCAUUCUUUCCAUUCGCUUGGAAUGAUGCAGUGGAAGAGGCAUGUGAGGCUGGGAUUGGUGUUAUUGCAGAGCCAGGUGGGAGCAUCAGGGAUAAGGAUGCCAUAGACUGCUGCAACAAGCAUGGGGUUUCAUUGCUUUUUACGAAUGUGAGACACUUUAGGCACUGAGAGAUUUCGGCAAUCUCUACAUUUUUGAGUUAUAAACCUUGCGCCUAGUGCCCUCGCGGCUCAGUUUCAUUGUGCAAUUUAUAAUGAUGUGCUGUAAGGGCUCCAGAUUUUCAAAUGCCCUUGUAAUCAAAUAAUGUUCCUUGAAACAAUGCUGCAAGUAAACUAUAAUGUCUGCACUUCGCAAGUUCCAAUUAAUGCCUUCUUGGUGCAUUAAAUCAAAGCUGGUUGGCAAUGAAUUUUCAGAUGAAGCUGAGCUAGAAGCCUAGCGGGUAAUCUUACGUUGCCCCUUUAAAAGAAAUCAAAAUCAUCUAACAUGGCAAUCUGCUUAUCAGAGAGGCUGAGAGAGAUGGCAACUGAAGCCGAUGCGUGAACAAUGCAAUCGUGACUCUUGACUUACAAUUCUGUUGUUGAUGGAGACCGGGAACGCUUGGGGAGAUUUCCCCCAAUUUCUUGUGUAUAUUGCAAUUUGUUUUUAUCUGACGCGAAUGAAUGACAAUGGCAUCGGCUCUUUUCCAUUAGGAGUAAAUUGCAUCAAUAAUCGCA
rnacentral:misc_RNA from 1 species